rnacentral:rRNA from 1 species
CUACGGAGGGUGCAAGCGUUAAUCGGAAUUACUGGGCGUAAAGGGCGCGUAGGCGGUCUAUUAAGUCAGGUGUGAAAUCCCACGGCUCAACCGUGGAGGUGCAUCUGAAACUGAUAGACUUGAGUAUGGGAGAGGAAAGUGGAAUUCCCGGUGUAGAGGUGAAAUUCGUAGAUAUCGGGAGGAACACCAGUGGCGAAGGCGACUUUCUGGACCAAUACUGACGCUGAGGCGCGAAAGCGUGGGGAGCAAACAGGAUUAGAAACCCUAGUAGUCC